UCUAAGAGGGCGGUUCUUUGGUAUAGCCGCGUUCUUAAAACAUAGUGCUUUAUUUAAGAAGGCGACUAUACCAAAUAACCGCCCUCUUAGACUA
rnacentral:pre_miRNA from 1 species